AGAUCACCCGUAUACUCGUCUGCCAGAGAAGCUCCUGACGUCGUUGCGCUCUCAAGCGUCUACUGAUCUUACCAAAACCGGACUGGGAAGUCGUGGAUUCUCGUCUGGCACGCUAGGAAGUGUGGCCCGGAAGUGUUGCCAGGCUUUGUGUAAGCAUCGCCAUGUCUUCAAUCAUCAUCCUUCUGCUAUUUUUGUCCUUCUUGACUUCAACUUCUUCAACUUAUGCCUGUGGAGACGCACUAAUUCCAAUUCAAAUGUACAUCAACGGUCCUGGUUGUAGGAAUACACCAGUAAAAGGGCAGGGAUGCUUUGGAUAUUGUACAUCAUGCACAGGCAAUUCAGAGAGCAGCGUUACGUCCAUGGAGACACUUGACAUGAAGUGUUGUGGAGCAGCAAAGUAUGAAGAUAGAUAUACUUAUUUGUUUUGCAGCGGUCGAUAUCGACUGACAAAGUAUGCAGUUCCAUCACACUGCACCUGCCUGAACUGUCAAGUGAAAAAUUGAUGGAAUACAAUCAAUUACGUAGGAGAAAGUUGACUUACAAUACAUCGUAAUGAUUGGUGCUUUAUGCUGUGGAGUAACAAUAUCUAAAUUUGUUAGUGAUCGUUGACAUAGACUUGAUAGUGAAUAACUGCUUGAUGUCUGUCUGUAGAUGUACUUGAUCAGCUUGUUUGGAUAUGUCAGUGUUAUAGAUCAAGCUUUAUUGAGAUCUGAUUACUUAAAUGCUCAGAAAGAUUAUUCUGUAAAUGUACAGUCGAGGGUCUGGAACAUCAGUGCUAGCAUAUAUGAUGUCAAACAACAGGAAGUCAGUCGU